AGGCCYGGGACUAGUCGGCCGUGACGUCAUUUACGGGACUCGUGUGUUGAAAGCACUUGAGAAGGAUAAGAAAACAAAUUGCAUCGCUUGAAUACUGUAGUUGUAUAAACCUUUUAUUYCACGUCAAUUCUUUCUGAUUAUAGUAGUGAAUACUCUGAAAGUUGCAACUAUUCUGAUUUUAAUGAAGAAAGUAGAUAUUUGCUAAAAACCGACUACGAAACAAACCCAAGAUGGCGAUUACAUCUAGGCUUUAGACCUGUUUAGAACUAUGGUCUUUGCGACUGCCUGUUGGAAAAAGAAGAGGGGCAGAAAAUAAGAAAAAAGCAUCCAAGAAACGAUUUCUAAGAAGCGUAGAAAGUUUACCCAUUUGGUACAUGGUUAUCUAGAUAGAAAAAUAACAUUCAGAGAAGAGGAAGAAGAAUAUUUGACAUAGGUAAUUAUAAUAUUAAAUAGUGUAUACGAAUAUUAGAGUGUGCAGUAUAGAUGCACAUUUUAAGAAUUGCAGAUUCCAAGAUUCGUACUAGCUGUAUUGAAAUUAUUUACAUGGUAAUGCACUAAUUUGAAGGGCUGUUUUUGGGGCAAUCCAAGACAUUUUUGUGCCCCUUCAUUGGUUUCUUGCAAGCUGAGCAGCAAGGAUUGCGUCUCGCCCCUGUUUGACGUGGUUCUGCUACAGGUGUUGUUUCUGAAAAGAAAGGGAGCAGAACCUUCGUUUUAGACAUUGGGUUUGUCUGAAUAUGUCGAUUUACUGUACUUUCCUACCUGGGACUUCUUCUAUCUCUUAGUUGAAAUGAGUGGUUAUAAAUAAAAUAGACCUCUCAGAUCAUAUUGUUGUUAGUGUCAUUAUUAUCAUUGAAUAACAUGCUUUUCAUAA